GAAUGCGCUACGGCAGGCUUGAUACAUGCAAGUUAGAGGUUCAAUCAGUCUCGCAGCAAUGCGGGAUGCUACGCACCGGCAAACGGGAUCGGAACACGUAUUCAACUUUCCCUUCUCUGGGGCAGAUACCGCGGAAACCCGGAUCUUCUCCCCGUAAGAUACUGGAGUGGCGUCUCGCUUCUAUCGAAUCAGUGGUGGACUGGCAUGGGUCUGGGGUCGCUUGGGUAAGUGGUAGUGCAACGGCCUCCCAAACGUGCGAACGGUAUCGAGAGUGAGGGCCCGGCCCCUCGCCCGUGCGACGGGUCACCGGCCCUGAUCCUUCGGGACGGCGCAGUAUGGUAUCUUAGUCAGCAGAGGCAAGUCUGGACCAGCCGUGGCGGGCGGAAGGUGGAGGCCCUUUGGGGGCGAAAAUUGUUUUGCAGGGGGAGAAACACUUUCUUUCUUGGGAGCUUGACGGUACCGUCAGAAUAAGCACCGGCUAACUCCGUGCCAGCAGCCGCGGUAAUACGGAGGGUGCAAGCGUUGUUCGGAUUCACUGGGUGUAAAGGGUGCGUAGGCGGUCUGGUAAGUCCGUGGUGAAAUCUCUGAGCUCAACUCGGGAACUGCCAUGGAUACUGCCGGUCUUGAGUACUCGAGAGGUGAGCGGAAUUUCUCGUGUAGCGGUGAAAUGCGUAGAUAUCACAAAGAACACCGAUGGCGAAGGCAGCUAGCUGCACUGUUAUUGACGCUGAGGCACGAAAGCGUGGGGAUCAAACAGGAUUAGAUACCCUGGUAGUCCACGCCGUAAACUAUGGAUACUCGACGUUGGCGAAUUACUGUCUCCGUCUGACCAAAACAUUAUAAUCCCCCCGGGGAGAACCACGCCCGGUGAAAAACAAAGAAAUUUGGGGGGCCCCCCACCGGGGAAGAAGGUGGUUUAUUUCUAUAAUCCCCGAGAAACAUUCCUGGGCUAUAGGCUGAGUGACCGCCGGAAAAAGCUCGUUUUUCCCGAUAUACACUUAGUAAGGGCUGCUGGCCGCCGUCCGCUCCUGGCGUGGUGAGAUGGGGUAACUCCCCCAACGAGCCCACCCCCAUCACUUCUUGCCAGCAGGGAACGCUGGGAACUCCACUGGAACUGCCGUCGUACAACGCAAGGAAGGAGGGGAUGAUGACCUGCCAUCAUGGUCUCUCUGACCGGGGCGACAUACCUGCUACAAUGGUAGGGACAAAAGGCUGCCACUUAGCCAUAAGGCAUCUAUACCCACAACUCUCUCUCAGUUCGGAUAACUGUCUGCUACUCCACUGCGUCAAGAUGGAAUAUCUACUAAUCAUCAUAUCACCACUGAUCCGGUGAAUACCUUCGCCGAGCUUGUACACACCGCCCGUCUAGC
rnacentral:rRNA from 1 species